UGUCACCUUCUAGAGAUCUAAGGCUUUAUAUAUAAUUCAAAAGAUACUGGGGACUGUCAGUAAAUCAUCGUAAAAUUCAACUUUUUUGAUUCAGACUCUGAAUCAAAACUUGAAAAAUUCAGUUAUUAGAAGAUUUUUGAAAAAAAGAGGCAUUGGAUCAUCAUGCAUUGGCUUGUUGAUGUUAUAGGCGGUAUAACAGGAGUGAUAUUGAUUAUUAUGGCUUACCGGCCCUCGGAGGGAGCAGCCCUAGAGCGUUAUCAUUACAGGGAUAAUGUUGAUAUGGAGGAUAAAUCCGACUAGCGAUCAGCAGCACUCCUCAUGGCCUGGCAAAUGUACCAAAUUUUUUACCCAUUUUUAAACAAAGUUCGCAACAUACAUAUUUUGUUAAUUCUUGGACCUCCAUGCGGCUGCUGUUUCAAAAUCAAUAAAUCCCAUUGAAGUUAA